rnacentral:rRNA from 1 species
UACAGAGGUCUCAAGCGUUGUUCGGAUUCAUUGGGCGUAAAGGGCGUGUAGGUGGUUACGUAAGUCUGGCGUGAAAUUCUCUGGCUUAACCGAGGCAGGUCGUCGGAUACUGCGAGACUAGAGGACGGUAGAGGCGUGUGGAAUUCCGGGUGUAGUGGUGAAAUGCGUAGAGAUCCGGAGGAACACCAGUGGCGAAGGCGACACGCUGGGCCGUACCUGACACUGAGGCGCGAUAGCAUGGGGGAGCAAACAGG